GACAGAGGAUGCAAGCAAGCGUUAUCCGGAAUGAUUGGGCGUAACGCGUCUGUAGGUGGCUUUUCAAGUCUGCCGUCAAAUCCUAGGGCUCAACCCUGGACAGGCGGUGGAAACUACCAAGCUAGAGUACGGUAGGGGCAGAGGGAAUUUCCGGUGGAGCGGUGAAAUGCAUUGAGAUCGGAAAGAACACCAACGGCGAAAGCACUCUGCUGGGCCGACACUGACACUGAGAGACGAAAGCUAGGGGAGCAAAUGGG
rnacentral:rRNA from 1 species